rnacentral:rRNA from 1 species
AACGAACGCUGGCGGCGUGCCUAACACAUGCAAGUCGAACGGGAAAGCCCGCAAGGGUGAGUACAGUGGCGCACGGGUGCGUAACACGUGGGUAAUCUGCCCAGAAGCCCGGAAUAACUCCCCGAAAGGGGUGCUAAUGCCGGAUGAGACCACGGGGACUUCGGUUCCUGGGGGAAAAGGUGGCCUCUGUAUACAAGCUAUCACUUCUGGAUGAGCCCGCGGCCCAUCAGCUAGUUGGCGGGGUAAUGGCCCACCAAGGCUACGACGGGUAGCUGGUCUGAGAGGGCGAUCAGCCACACUGGGACUGAGACACGGUCCAGACUCCUACGGGAGGCAGCAGUGGGGAAUCUUGCGCAAUGGGCGAAAGCCUGACGCAGCAACGCCGCGUGUGUGAUGAAGGUCUUCGGAUCGUAAAGCACUGUCGGGAGGGACGAAUAAGGGCCGGGUGAACAAUCCGGUUCGACGACGGUACCUCCAGAGGAAGCACCGGCUAACUCUGUGCCAGCAGCCGCGGUAAUAC